AUUGGUGACUGGAACAAAGGCGAUAGCGAGUUUGAAUGAGACAUAGGCAUCAACGGUGGCGUGGAGUAUCUGCUUUCGCCCAAGCUUUGGAGAGCCCCAGUUGCUCUUGGUGGUGAUGUUAGCCGGAGAAAUGUGCCUCUUUUGAUGUCUUUGUUAAUAAGAGCGGUUCCAAAUAUCUCUCAUGAAUUUCCUCCCGUCCACAAACUUUCCGAUCUUCAAAACAUCACUACGAGCAAAGAACUUGGUGGAAUCUCUGUCGUUCCAUAUUCCGGGGGAUGUAGUCAAGUCUGAGCCAAGGAACCGAGUUGGCCUCCUAGAAAUACGGGAACAAUACCUAAGCUUGACGAUAGGCCAUUACAUCUAUGCGCAUCGUUCAAUUCAACUGAGAACAAUCCCACUGAAAUUAUCAUAAUUUUG